rnacentral:rRNA from 1 species
UACGUAGGGUGCAAGCGUUGUCCGGAAUUAUUGGGCGUAAAGAGCUCGUAGGCGGUCUGUCGCGUCGGCUGUGAAAACCCGGGGCUCAACCCCGGGCCUGCAGUCGAUACGGGCAGACUAGAGUGUGGUAGGGGAGACUGGAAUUCCUGGUGUAGCGGUGGAAUGCGCAGAUAUCAGGAGGAACACCGGUGGCGAAGGCGGGUCUCUGGGCCGUUACUGACGCUGAGGAGCGAAAGCGUGGGGAGCGAACAGG